CCUACGGGAGGCAGCAGUGAGGAAUAUUGGUCAAUGGACGAGAGUCUGAACCAGCCAAGUAGCGUGAAGGAUGACUGCCCUAUGGGUUGUAAACUUCUUUUAUAUGGGAAUAAAAUGUGCCACGUGUGGGAUUUUGUAUGUACCAUAUGAAUAAGGAUCGGCUAACUCCGUGCCAGCAGCCGCGGUAAUACGGAGGAUCCGAGCGUUAUCCGGAUUUAUUGGGUUUAAAGGGAGCGUAGGUGGAUUGUUAAGUCAGUUGUGAAAGUUUGCGGCUCAACCGUAAAAUUGCAGUUGAAACUGGCAGUCUUGAGUACAGUAGAGGUGGGCGGAAUUCGUGGUGUAGCGGUGAAAUGCUUAGAUAUCACGAAGAACUCCGAUUGCGAAGGCAGUUCACUGGACUGCAACUGACACUGAGGCUCGAAAGUGUGGGUAUCAAACAGGAUUAGAUACCCGUGUAGUC
rnacentral:rRNA from 1 species